UCAGGACGAACGCUGGCGGCGUGCCUAAUACAUGCAAGUCGAACGGUCUUUCUAUGGAAGCUUGCUUCCACUGAGAAGAUAGUGGCGAACGGGUGAGGUAACACGUGGGUAACCCUGCCCAUAAGAGGGGGGAUAACAUCCGGAAACGGGUGCUAAUACCGCAUAGUUUUCUUGGUCGCAUGAUCGGGAAAGGAAAGACGGCCUUUGUGCUGUCGCUUAUGGAUGGACCCGCGGCGUAUUAGUUAGUUGGUGAGGUAACGGCUCACCAAGACGAUGAUACGUAGCCGACCUGAGAGGGUGAUCGGCCACAUUGGGACUGAGACACGGCCCAAACUCCUACGGGAGGCAGCAGUAGGGGAUCUUCCGCAAUGGACGAAAGUCUGACGGAGCAACGCCGCGUGAGUGAAAGAAGGUUUUCGGAUCGUAAAACUCUGUUGUCAGAGAAGAACAAGUUGGAGAGUAACUGCUCCAGCCUUGACGGUAUCUGACCAGAAAGCCACGGCUAACUACGUGCCAGCCGCGGC
rnacentral:rRNA from 1 species